rnacentral:lncRNA from 1 species
AAACCUGGGGGUUAGGGGAAAGGGGUGAGCUACUAAAGUCAAGUGAGCAGAACAAUAAAACAAUUUAUAAACAUAUGCUUUUAUGAAAUGCAUCACAACACAAACAAUUCACAUCACGGAUGGACUUGUCACCAGUAACCCUCUGCAUAUCCAAGUGCCCGGCCCACAACGGGAGCUCCUCAGGACUUUCGCUUAAUCAUAACAUAACAUAUCCAACUGUGCCAGGGGUGUAGACUGGGCAACCCUGGUCUUUCCCUUACAU